rnacentral:rRNA from 1 species
AACGCUAGCUACAGGCUUAACACAUGCAAGUCGAGGGGCAGCAUGAUUGAAGCUUGCUUCAAUUGAUGGCGACCGGCGCACGGGUGAGUAACACGUAUCCAACCUACCGUUUACACAUGGAUAGCCUUUCGAAAGAAAGAUUAAUACAUGAUGGUUUAUGUGAACCGCAUGGUUUAUAUAAUAAAGAUUAAUCGGUAAACGCUGGGGAUGCGUUCCAUUAGAUAGUAGGCGGGGUAACGGCCCACCUAGUCGACGAUGGAUAGGGGUUCUGAGAGGAAGGUCCCCCACAUUGGAACUGAGACACGGUCCAAACUCCUACGGGAGGCAGCAGUGAGGAAUAUUGGUCAAUGGACGAGAGUCUGAACCAGCCAAGUAGCGUGAAGGAUGACUGCCCUACGGGUUGUAAACUUCUUUUAUAAGGGAAUAAAGUGUGCCACGUGUGGUGCUUUGCAUGUACCUUAUGAAUAAGCAUCGGCUAACUCCGUGCCAGCAGCCGCGGUAAUACGGAGGAUGCGAGCGUUAUCCGGAUUUAUUGGGUUUAAAGGGAGCGUAGACGGAUGAUUAAGUCAGCUGUGAAAAUCUGCGGCUCAACCGUAGUCGUGCAGUUGAUACUGGUCACCUUGAGUGCGUUUGAGGCAGGCGGAAUUCGUGGUGUAGCGGUGAAAUGCUUAGAUAUCACGAAGAACUCCGAUUG